GCGAUGGUAGUUCAGCUGGUUAGAAUGCCGCCCUGUCAAGGCGGAGGUCGUGGGUUCGAGCCCCAUCCAUCGCGCCA
rnacentral:tRNA from 1 species